rnacentral:tRNA from 1 species
GGGGCUGUAGCUCAGUUGGCUAGAGCGCUUGACUGGCAGUCAAGAGGUCGUGGGUUCGAGUCCCAUCAGCUCCA